UACGUAGGUGGCAAGCGUUGUUCGGAAUUACUGGGCGUAAAGGGCGCGUAGGCGGUGUGUCAAGUCAGGCGUGAAAGCCCCGGGCUCAACCUGGGAACCGCGCUUGAGACUGGCACGCUCGAGUUCGGGAGAGGAUGGUGGAAUUCCCAGUGUAGAGGUGAAAUUCGUAGAUAUUGGGAAGAACACCGAUGGCGAAGGCAGCCAUCUGGACCGACACUGACGCUGAGGCGCGAAAGCGUGGGGAGCAAACAGG
rnacentral:rRNA from 1 species